AGCUUGACACAAAUCAAGACCAGAAUUGGCUCAGUUGUACGUAGCUGUAACCUCGAGAGCCAGAACAAGAAGCACACAAUACACCUUUAAAACUUGUCAAGAACAAUCACAGAAGAGAGCUCACAGCAACCUCUACCUCCACUCAGAGCUAGGAGUGGUGUCCGACCCCUCCUAGAGACUAAGCCUGACAGUUAGAUCAUUCAACCAUGAGCUGAUAAAUGCAGCUGUGAACCUGGAGAACAUGAAGGAACUCAUUUCCAGGGAGAUCAAUUUGUUUAAGCUACAAUCACUUCCAACAGAAGCUGCCUCCCUACCUAGGUGCAGCAAAAAGGUAUUUUGGCCCAAAAAGGGAGAGUGAGUCUGGGAGUGGAUUAGUCGCCAUCAGACUGUUAUAGGUAUCAAGGAGUGUAAUAGGUCCAGUAGUAGAGGCUUCACUUAAAUUGUAGGACGCAGAUUCAGGUUGUGGCUCUGGCUCAAACAUACACUUAGUUAGGAACACAGGAUUAACAAAAUUUGCAAGAUGUGGAUUUCCAGAGACAUACUGUUGUUUUGCUAUCUACACCUUAGGCAUAGAAACACUUUCUUUGUAUGUCAUGUCAUUUUUUAUAAACUCCACCCUCAAGAAUCUUUCCUCCAGCGUACAGAUUUGUGUCUGUUAUUUGCCAGAGAAUUUAGUUCCUGGAGCUGAUGUAGACAUCUAUGCAGGUCAUUCUCUGACACAUAAAGGACACAUAAAGCAUUACUGCAGGAUGCUAAGAUACUGGUGAUGAGCAUUAACAGGAACAAAGAACACACACGCAAAGCAAGUCAAGCAAAGCCAGACUCUACUCAUUGAUGCAAAAGACAAAAUCCUGAGCGAAGCACCUAUGAAAUUACAGGCUCUCUGUAAGGCACCUAUGUGUCAGGCACCUAUGAAAUUACAGUGCUGCUCUGCAUAGGAAGGUGUAGCCCCUGUGUAUUCUAAUGAUUUAGCACAGCUACUUUGUUUGCACUUCAGGAACUAGAUGAUGUAUGGAGUUUUUACUUGUCUGAUGUGUAUAUUCUUUUCAGCCACUACCUGUUGCAACUGGGAAAUACAUCAGUUUUUCUCCUACUAGGAUACUAUAUACAGAAAACUAGGUUUUGUCAAUGUGCUUGUUUUAUCAGCUGUCCUUAUGCUGAAGUAGUAACCAUACUUGGCCCUGUAGUAUUGUUCCUUCUUUCUUCCUGCAAUGGGUGUUAAUAAUACAGCUUGUAGAAAGAUCAACAGAAGCACCACAAAUUAGUGUCAGUUUCUACAAGCAGUAAUGGAAAAAGAAUGAACAAAACAACUCACAAACAGUACUCAGCACAUCUACCAACAUUCAGCUAUUUUUAUGAAAACCGCUGUAGAAUGAUGCUGUGAUAAAUAGGUGGAGUACAUUUUCCCUAAAUAAAGAGGCAUCUUUGAAAUUAUAAACAGCAGCCUCAAAUAUUAAUAAAAACCAAACUUUUUCAUUAAGUAUAAUAAUAAAAAUGCUUACACUGUUUUUUAAUAAUUUGCUAAUUACAUGUGCAGUGCCAGCACCUGGUGUGCUGUGUGUUAUCAGUAAAAGCAUUUCAUAAGUCUUAAAAUUAAUCUUCAGUAUUUCACUAAUUUAAUAUUUGGCUGAACGCAUUGCAAAUAUUUCAAACACUCAAAGGGAGAAAAGAGCACAUUUUUCAGCUGCUUUUAAAUAACGGUAAAAAACUGUAGGUAAAGCUCCAAAAUACAGAUGUCCACUUGAAUUUUUGACUCAAAAAACAAUAAUCCUUAAAAUGAUGUUUAAAAAUACUGCAAAUCCUGCUUCUUCAUGACCAAUCCAAUCCCCUUGACUUCAGUGUUCAAAUGAAGAGCAUCCUAGAGAGCUAUCCCCAGUAGUGGGUGUAUUUUUGGCAAUGUUUAGUUCCCUUCUGCCAAUACUGAGUUAGAAUAAGAAAUCUAUUAAGAGUUAUCUAUUCCUGAAUUGAAAAGUAGAGUUUCAGCUGACCGACACCUCCAAGGAUGGCAAAGAGAUUCAUGCGUUGCUUACCCUAAACAGAGAAAUAGAAGAGCAUGCAUAGCCACCUAAUUGAAAUUUAUGAAUUAGCCAAAUUGAUUUGGACAAUGUUUUGUGCUUUUAGAAAAGACACAUCAGCUACUGGAAAAAGGAUGGCUUCCCCUCUGCCUCCACAGACAACAAGAACUACUGCAGAACAUUCACCACUUCCCAAAAACAAACAAACAAAAUCUCAGCUAAUUCUUUACAGCAUUAGAAAUGAAUGAUCUAUGAACAAAUUCAGCUGAAGGACUGGAGGCUGGUGUGCUGGUGGAUUUGAAAUGGGAAUUAUUGGACAACUUUAGCACAGCAUUCUUGAAAAUAAAGGAUAGAUUAAGCAUCUGUGUCAGAGAGGCAUUACAGCCAAAGUGGAACUAAUUCCAUGAAAUACUGCUCAUAAAUGUAAGUGCUGCUUUAGCUUUUGCUUUUCAUUUUGUGUUUUUUUUCCCCCAAGGGGUUAUGUAACACAAUUUAUAAUGUUACUUAGGAUGAUAAUUUCUGUCAUGCCUAUAUAUAUGACUUUGGCAGAGACAAACAGAAUUCCUUACUGAAAAAUUUUGCUGGCAACCAGUAUAAAUCCUUGUGUUGAAAUGCAUUAAAAUGCAUUAAAAGGAGAAAUAGAAAUCCAACUCACACGGGGAAUUUUCUGAUCUGAUGCCUGCCCACACAGACAUCAAAAGAGAGAGCAGGUUGCUGUGGAAAUGAGCGCAUCCUCACAACAACAGACAGUUGGAGAAAUGGCCACUAUAGACCAGCUCAGAAAGCAGCUGACAGCUGGUUGUCAGUGCAUGCAAAAGCAACAGGCUGUGCUUCAAAAAGUGGGGAUGUGCACCAGCAACUGGUUUUCAUCAGAGGUGCACACCCAUGGGACCAUCAGCCACCUCUACAUUCAUGACAACACUUGAAGAAAUCUUAAAGGUGUAAGAUGUGCUCUUCCCAAAAAACAUCCCUUUUAUUAGUAGUUCUGGUGGGUUUACAAAGUGGAAAUGAAGCACUCCUCACUUUAUUGCUGGUCUCAAAAACCCAGUCAUAAAUGGCAAUGCAAAUUCCAGCCCCUGUUGUUAACAGCCAGAACUGACCUUGACAAGACGUGGAUCACUGAAGUGUAUUUCCAGCAUCCACCUUAUUAUCACAGCAGUGGAAAAAGAGAACAGCAGGAAACAGAGCAGCCAUGCAUAACAAAAACACAGCAAAACAAGUCCUUUUCCUAUAGAAAGAGGUGGAGGUCAAUUUACUGCCUACUUACAUUUUCUUACUUUCUGACUGUUAUUUUCAGUGCUAACCAGGACAGAAAUUUUCAAUGAUUUGAUAAAAAUUCCCUAAGCAAAAAUACAAUUACCCUUAGCCCUCUCAGAAGAGUUCAGCAGAUCAGUAGAUAAAUGACACAAAUGAAGCCAAAGAUACAGGUUGUUUCUGUACAAGUACUUCAAAACAUCCAAAAAAAUAUUAAAAUGUACACAUCAAAAAUGUCUCAGUCAUUUUUAUUUUUAUUUUUUAAUCUGUAUUCUUAAAUCUGAAUUGUACUGGGAAGCCCAUGGAUCCUCCUAAGGAGAGCUGAAACCUGUGUAAUAAGUAAAAAUUACACAAAUGGUCUGCUAGGAAGUAUAUUAACUUCACAAAGUCUCAAUCCAGUAAUAUGGAUGUCAUGCGUCUGGUACCAAAUUGAAAUGGGCAAAGGAAGUUCCUAUCCACUCAUUUUUUACCAUGGUGCAACUGUAACAAAGUUGGUUGUGGGUAUAAAAUUUAACUGGAAAGCUCAGGCUUUCCAGUUCUAAAGUUCAUCUUCCCUUGUCUGCUUUUAUGUGUACAACACUGCAAACUGCAAAGCACAACCCAGUUUCUGCAGUGCUGGCAAGUCAGAAAAGGAAUAUGGGCAAUUAAACGCACACAAGAGAAGAAAGCAGCGUCUAAUUCAAUAUCAGAUUCCAGUGUCUAAGUGUUUGACCAGCAGAAGCAAAGCUGAAUAUUCUCCAUCUCCAGAUUUGCAGGUGUCUGAGCUGGACAAGACUGCUGCCUUCAGUUUCUUAUUUACUGGGAGAUCCUAGGAGCCUGUAUUCUCAGAAGGCUUUUACUGAGCCACUAUUAUUCACGGGUGAUCCUCAGGUUGAAUUUCUGCUUCAGACACUGGGAGUUGGUAUAAUUCUGCUUGUAGUAAACAGCAUCAGUCUGUUUCCUUUUGGCCACAACAACCCUAUGCAAUGCUACAGGCUUGGGGUUGAGUGGCUGGAAGACUGUGGAAGAAAUGGACCUGAACAUGUUGAUCAACACUCCAAUGAACAUGAGCCAACAGUGUUCCCAGGUGGACAACAAGACCAAAGGCAUCCUGGCUUGUAUCAGAAAUAGUGUUGCCAGCAGGAGAAGGGAAGAGACCAACUCCCUAUAUUCAGCUCUUGUGAGGCUGCACCUCUAGUACUGUGUUCAGUUUUGGGCCCCUCACUACAAGAAAGACAUCAAGGCCCUGGAGAGUGUUCAAAAAAGGGCAGCAAAGCUCGUGAGGGGUCUGGAGCACAAGUCUUAUGAGGAGCAGCUGAGGGAAAUGGGAUUGUUCAGUCUGGAGAAGACUCAGGGAAGACCUUAUCACUCUCUAUAACCACCUGAAAGAAGCUGUGGUGAGGUGGGUGUUGGCCUCCACUCCUGCGUAUCUAGUGACAGGAUAGGAAAGAAUGUCCUCAAGUUGCACCAGGAGAGAUUCAAGUUGGACAUUAGGA